rnacentral:rRNA from 1 species
UCGAACGAGAAAGCAGGAGCAAUCUUGUGAGUAAAGUGGCGUACGGGUGAGUAACACGUGGAUUAUCUACCUUCUAGUGGGGGAUAACCCUGGGAAACCGGGGCUAAUACCGCAUAAGCUCGAGAGAGGAAAGCAGCAAUGCGCUGGAAGAGGAGUCCGCGGCCGAUUAGCUAGUUGGUAGGGUAAAGGCCUACCAAGGCUACGAUCGGUAGCCGGCCUGAGAGGGCACACGGCCACACUGGCACUGAAACACGGGCCAGACUCCUACGGGAGGCAGCAGUGGGGAAUCUUGCACAAUGGGGGCAACCCUGAUGCAGCGACGCCGCGUGAGCGAUGAAGCCCUUCGGGGUGUAAAGCUCUUUCGGCAGGGAAGAUUAUGACGGUACCUGCAGAAGCAGCUGCGGCUAACUACGUGCCAGCAGCCGCGGUAAUACGUAGGCAGCAAGCGUUGUUCGGAGUUACUGGGCG